rnacentral:lncRNA from 1 species
AUGAAGAUGGUCUCCUUCGCUGUGUUCAAGUUAUUCUUUAUAAUGUUCUUGCUGUGCGCUGGCUGUGGGCCCAGCGCUGGGUGUGUGGCCGUUCAACAGUUCAAUGGUUCUACGGUUCAGCAAGAACUGGAAGAUGACCCAAAAAUUGUAGUCCCUCUCAGCACGGCUCUCCGUGGACCUCAGACUCACUGACCAAUGUGGAAAAUUAACCUAAUAACAUCUUUGGAACAGAUCUUAAUACAGAUCAGCCCAUUUGUGGAUGAACAGGUAAAGGCAGAACCACUAUGUAAAAUGUAUAA